UAGGGAAUCUUCCGCAAUGGACGCAAGUCUGACGGAGCAACGCCGCGUGAGUGAAGAAGGAUUUCGGUUCGUAAAACUCUGUUGUUAGAGAAGAACAGCGCAUAGAGUAACUGUUAUGCGUGUGACGGUAUCUAACCAGAAAGCCACGGCUAACUACGUGCCAGCAGCCGCGGUAAUACGUAGGUUGCAAGCGUUGUCCGUAUUUAUUUGGCGUAAAGUGAGCGCAGGCGGUCAAUUAAGUCUGAUGUGAAAGCCCCCGGCUCAACCGGGGAGGGUCAUUGGAAACUGGUUGACUUGAGUGCAGAAGGGGAGAGUGGAAUUCCAUGUGUAGCGGUGAAAUGCGUAGAUAUAUGGAGGAACACAAGUGGCGAAGGCGACUCUCUGGUCUGUAACUGACGCUGAGGUUAGAAAGCGUGGGUAGCAAACAGG
rnacentral:rRNA from 1 species